GACGAACGCUGGCGGCGUGCUUAACACAUGCAAGUCGAACGGAAAGGCCCUGCUUUUGUGGGGUGCUCGAGUGGCGAACGGGUGAGUAACACGUGAGUAACCUGCCCUUGACUUUGUGAUAACUUCAGGAAACUGGGGCUAAUACCGGAUAGGAGCUCCUGCUGCAUGGUGGGGGUUGGAAAGUUUCGGCGGUUGGGGAUGGACUUGCGGCUUAUCAGCUUGUUGGUUGGGUAGUGGCUUACCAAGGCUUUGACGGGUAGCCGGCCUGAGAGGGUGACCGGCCACAUUGGGACUGAGAUACGGCCCAGACUCCUACGGGAGGCAGCAGUGGGGAAUAUUGCACAAUGGGCGGAAGCCUGAUGCAGCAACGCCGCGUGCGGGAUGACGGCCUUCGGGUUGUAAACCGCUUUCGCCUGUGACGAAGCGUGAGUGACGGUAAUGGGUAAAGAAGCACCGGCUAACUACGUG
rnacentral:rRNA from 1 species